CUGAGAGUGCAGAUCAUCCUCACCACCAUGUGUUACUUGAUGCAGGGGUGGGGGUGGGGGUGUCUUCUGGACCCUAUAAAUCCACAUGGGUGGUUGGUCCUCUGCUGGGCUUAUGCCAAGGAAUAACCUCUGGGCUGCUGUUCCGACAAGUCCUGUUGAAUAAGGAGCUCUUGUCUUGACUUAGGCAUAGAAUUGGAACCCACCAAGGACCAGCCACCUUAGGGAGAGACCUGGCCAAUGACCAAAGUGGGCUUCCCUGGGCUGGGGAGAGGGUGCAGGGUGGGCAUUGCACCAAGGUUCUAUGCUGCCCCCUUUGUGUUGAUUCCUCCUUUCUGUGAACAACACCUGUGCUCUCCACGUAGGCCCAAAGGACUUCAUGCUGGUCUACUUCAGGUGAAACAAAUCAGCUUUAUAUUAUAGGACUCUGAAUAAGGUUUCUUCUGGGGAAAGGGGAGUAACACUGCUAAAAAUAACUAAGUUUGAGAACUCCUAGGAAGAGUUACCCCAGCCCCAAUGGCCCCAGUGAACUCACCAGAGAUGCUGCUCUUUCUCAGGGAGCAUCCCAAAGACAACUUCUCUGAUGUGGGAAUAAUAAAAAGGGGUUGUUAGUCACUGGCCUAUGAAGCAUCUGGGCCUUCAAAAUUCCAACUCCGCUGUAGUCUGGAGGCAUAGCUGAUCCUCCUGGGAGCUAAGAGCUAAAGUCAGGCUACUGGCUCUGCUGCCUCCAAACUUAGGGAUCAUCAUGCUUUGCUUGGAUAAAGCCAGGGUGACCUUGGGGUGUCUUGAGGGGUGUCCCAAAAAACCUGUGUCCAUCUUUCUAGGACCACUCAAAGCCGAGGGUUUGGGAGGGUGGAGCAGUCUUUUGAUCUGUGGGAACUAUGGCCUUCCAGGGUAUGGUCCAGCACUGCCCAGAACCCAGGGUACCCGCUGUCCAUCGGGACCAUCGUCCCAUUCCCCUCUGGCCGCAGUCUUCUCGACUCGAGAAGUGCAGAGAAGGCUGCUCUGAGAAAACAGGACUGAGGAGCCCGUUCCCGGCGCGCCUCGCACCAGCUCUGGCUUGGGACCAUAUCGCCCUGUAUUGCUCCAGAAAGGGGCCUGUCUGGCGGCGUAGCUGCUCCCCGUCCCAGUCCAGCCCUACGCUCUCACGGUACCGGCUGAAUCUACCCGGGAGCCGCCUGAAAGUUACCGCUAGCGGGUUCAAGUCCUAACUCCGCCCCAGGAUUCUCUAAGGCCCCUGGGGUGUUAAGCCCCGCCCCGUGAGGGUUCGUCCAAUCCAGGCCCAACCUUCAGGCUCCGCCGCCACUUUCUCGCCACUUCCGGUCUGCUCCCGGAAGUCACUCAGUGGAGCCAAAUUUGAAGCGAGCGGAGGCGGGGGCGUCCUCACGAAGCUGGACCAGUCGCGGUUUUCUUGGCUAUCUGGGCCCUCUGAGAACAGUCAUCAUGCCUAUCCGUGCGCUGUGCACCAUCUGCUCCGACUUCUUCGACCACUCCCGCGACGUGGCCGCCAUCCACUGCGGCCACACCUUUCACCUGCAGUGCCUAAUUCAGUGGUUCGAGACAGCACCAAGUCGGACCUGUCCGCAGUGCCGAAUCCAGGUUGGCAGAAGAACCAUUAUCAACAAGCUCUUCUUUGACCUUGCCCAGGAGGAGGAGAGUGUCUUAGAUGCAGAAUUCUUAAAGAAUGAACUGGAUAAUACCAGAGCCCAGCUUUCCCAGAAAGAGAAGGAGAAACGGGACAGCCAGGUCAUCAUUGACACUCUGCGGGACACGCUGGAAGAACGCAAUGCCACCGUGGAAUCUCUGCAGAGGGCCUUGGACAAGGCCGAGAUGCUGUGCUCCACCCUCAAGAAGCAGAUGAAGUACUUGGAGCAGCAGCAGGAUGAGACCAAACAAGCACGAGAGGAAGCCCGCCGACUCAGGAGCAAGAUGAAGACCAUGGAGCGGAUUGAGCUCCUACUUCAGAGCCAGCGGCCGGAGGUGGAGGAGAUGAUCCGAGACAUGGGUGUGGGACAGUCAGCAGUGGAGCAACUGGCUGUGUACUGCGUAUCCCUUAAGAAAGAGUAUGAGAAUCUAAAAGAGGCUCGGAAGGCCUCAGGGGAGCUAGCUGACAAGCUGAAGAAGGACUUGUUUUCUUCCAGAAGCAAGUUGCAGACAGUCUACUCUGAGCUAGACCAGACCAAGUUGGAGCUGAGGUCGGCCCAGAAGGACUUACAGAGUGCUGACAAAGAAAUCGUGAGCCUGAAAAAAAAGCUAACGAUGCUGCAGGAAACCCUAAACCUACCGCCAGUGGACAGCGAGACUGUCAACCGCCUGGUUUUAGAGAGCCCAGCUCCUGUGGAGGUGCUGAAUUUGAAGCUUCGCCGGCCAGCCUUCAGUGAUGAUAUUGACCUCAAUGCCACCUUUGAUGUGGCCACCCCCCCAGGCCGGCCUUCUAGCAUCCAGCAUGGUCACACUAAGAAGCUCUGUCCAGAGAAGGCACACUCUCCCGUUCAAGACAUUCCCAAGAAGAUGCCCAAAGGUCACAAGCAGGAGUCCCAGCUCUCACUGGGCGGCCAGCGCUGUGUGGGAGAGCCAGAUGAGGAGCUGGCUGGUGCCUUCCCUGUCUUCAUCCGGAAUGCUGUCCUGGGCCAGAAACAGCUCAAGAGGGCCAGGGUGGAGCCCUGUCGCAACACAGAUGCAGUAAGGACAGGCUUCGAUGGGCUUGGAGGCCGAACAAAAUUCAUCCAGCCUGUAUCCUUGUUCUGUGGCAUUGGGCUGAGCUGAGCUAUAGAGUCCACACCAUCCGUACCCUGUACCCACCUACCCCAGCCUGCCAGUGGCUGCAGCCUCAGGCCUCUUCCUUGACAUCUCCUUCAGACUGACACGACUAUGAUCCGCCCACUGCCUGUUAAGCCCAAGGCCAAGGCUAAGCAGAGAAUAGCGGCAAGGACCCUGCUCCCUCCCUCCCAGGCAAAGCUGGACAACUUCCUGUGGUAGUGAGAACAGUGAGUCUGAUCAAUGGCCAGAUACAUGCCUCCAACUUAUAAGCUGAGGACUGGCGACUGGCUCGGCAGGGAGUUUUGGAGGCAAGGCCCCUCUUCCAGGACCAGCCCUGAGGGCAAGGGAAGACGAGAAGAUGGGGUGAGGGUGAGGUCCAGAGACUGCUUUUCCUGUACUCACUCUGCCCCACCCCCAACAUACUGGGCCUACCUGUGGGAGCUAAUGUGACUAGCUCUCUGUUCAUGCUAGCAGCACAUGCUCCCUGUUCCAGGCUCCCAUUUAUAGCCAUGAUCAGAUGUCGCUGGGCUGUUUCUUGUCCUCCAGACCAUGGUCUUUUGUUGACUGUAUGGACCAAAGUGCUUGAGGCUUCUCAGGCAUCAUCAGCCUGCCCAAGCUUCUGCCAGCCUCCCUCUUGCUGCUGGGCAUGGCCUGAGCCAAGCAGGAUGGGGAAUAGGGGAUGGUGGUGGGGAGAGGAUGGGGGAAAGAUUUCUAUGUAAAAUAAAAAAGAAAGAAUCUCUUUUUCCUGGCUCUGGGCAUAUAAAUUUGCAUCAACACUUUGGAAAA